GGGCAGUCUGCCGCCCGACGCCGGUCGGCGCACACCGCACGCCGCCCGUGCCGCCCGUGCCGCCCGCGCUCAAAACUUCGUGAAGUGACACCGGCAUGUAUCGGAUUACGCAAGUGUGCUGGAUAUAAAAAUAUAAAGAUUCCUGACCCGUAACAUUGAGCACGCCGUUUAAAGCUUCAUAAGACAAUGUUGAAAAAAUGUUUAAAGAUGAAGAAUACGUUACUCUAAAUGACGAAAAUGAUUAUCCAGUAAGAGAACACGCAGAAUGCAACCUGGGAGUUCCGGACUAACGUGAUGCAACUUGUAAUGCUAAACUUCUUAAUCAUGUUCGACAUAGUGUUCAUAUUCUUUCUGUUUCUAAUUGCGGUUACUUGUGUGAUGAACUACAUGCCUGGGAAGAGCAAGAGGCAGGAGGUGAUUGAGGAGGAGGUGGACGAUGACGUCAUCCCGCCGCCCCCGCUGUUCGAUGACGACUGCCUGCCGUCGACCAGCCGCGACACUUACGUCGUCAUUCCACCACCUUUGGACCACGUGGCUAAUGCUAAAGACGGGUGUCCUAUACACGUGGUGUAGUAUAAGCACUGAAUAAUAUAUCAACGUAGGAGUUUAUUACGAAGAAGCCUUAUGAGAAUGUAGAUGACAAAAACAAAAUGUAGGCAUUUUUUACCAAAUCGUCAUGUAUAAGUAAAAUUUCUUGUUACGUAAGACUAAAAGGUGGAAUUUUUGGGACUCAAGAGAAUGGUAUGUACUAACAAAUGACUCGGUUGUUCAAUAGGUUUGUCGAAGCGCUACCAAGAUAUUUACAGAUACGCUCUUUUGCGUUAAGUGCGAUAUUUAAGUACACACUUGUUAUUUUGAUUCGAUAUAAGUAGAUACAUUUACCGAGUAAGGAACCGAUUGUAUAGUUUUAACACAUAACGCCUAAUUGUUUGGUAAUCUUUAAAUUAGCAAACUGAUCUCUAUUGUGUUAGUUAAUCCAACU